AAUUCCCUAAUUAUGGGUUUUCACCAGUAUCAGGAUCAACCCUCUGCAACUCACAAUAGCCAUUUACAUUUUAUCUCCAUAAUACAGAACAAGUUGCCAGGAAAAUUCCUCCAGUUUCAAAAUGAUAAGUUCCACAAGGGUCUGUUCUUGGUCUUGGUCUGUUCUUGGGUGAAAAUCUUGAGUAAGUUAUUGGGUAACUAUGUGCAUAUCCUGAGUUUUUGGUUUCAGAAAGUCAGAUAGCCAUUAUGUUGAAUUGAGUCCCUUCUGCAACUUACUCUGUGAAAAAACCCUGAAUUUCCUGUAAAUGCUGGAGAGUAAAUACUCUGGAGAAAUAUCCAUCAGCAGACGGUGAUCAAACCGGGAUUAGUUAUCAUUCCCAGAUUAAUAUGUUUUUGAGCUUUACCGUUCUUCACCACAGUCAAUUUAUCUCAAUGAAAUUUCAGGCUGCACUAACUUAUGUAAUUACAUUCUUUGUUUUACACUUUGUUUGAAUGCCAACAGGAUACUGUCAGAAAUGUCACUGUAGCACCUAAACUGUUAAUAUAUAGAAGUCACCUCUGAGAGAUGCCUAAUUUAAUAUCUGUAUGUGCGUCUCCUACUUGGAGUGUUGCUAGAGAUUUAUGCUAACCCUUACCCACAAAUUUUAUUUUGUAACAGAGCUUUUAGACAAGAGCUCUCCCACUAUUGAACCGUAGAUCAUUGUGACUUGAACAUUUGUAAAUGACUAUCUGAAAAUUGUGGGCAACCCUGCUGUACAGUGUGUCAUUACGACUCUUUUCAGGAAUCAAAAAAAGCCAAGCUUUUGGAGUUGAGCUUUUGUCUUGGUUCCCAAACGGCUCAUAAUUUUUUUUUAUCUCCUCCACCCUAAAAACCCCAAACAUUAACGUAACUUUUCAAUUAGGAACGUUUUAUAUGAUGCAUCUUUUUGUUUUCAAUGUCCCCUAUAUGAGAAGCCUUAUACUUAAUUUUAUGUAUUGUUCUGUUAUGAAACCAGACAUUCUUACUUUUGCAUAUUUUAAUCAAACUUAUUUUUUAAUAAAAAACAAAUGGCUAAUUUAUUUGGCAUGAUAAUAGAUAAACUGCAUCUGCAAGCAAAUCCAAACAAACUCAUAAUAGUAAUAAUAAUAUAUUAUAAUAUCUUUAAUCUUCACCUAAAUGCUGCUUUUCUUUUAUUGGUGUUAGUUUAUAUUUAUGGGUUUUGCACCACACUCUCCUCGUCAUGAAGUUGAGGUGAGGUGGUGAGAGAGAACCCAGACGGAGCUCAGGGUGUAGAUGAAUGAUGAUGAAUAUUUAAUGAUGAGAAGCUCACAACAGUCCAAGAACUGGCAGCACGGCAGAAAUGGAGGCUAAGCUCAUACUGGUAGCAACAGAGCAGCUGGAACUAGAGCUAUUGACCCAGGCAAACAGUUCAACUGACAACGACUAAUUGUACAGACUCUUAGGACUUAACAGUUCAACUGAGUAGACUGACUAGAGGUCAACAAUGAACAAAAUACGACAAGGAUCUGACAAAAAACAGAGACAACAGGUGAGCUUAAAUACACAGAGUAAUUGGGGAGACUAGACACACCUGGGAACAAUCAAGGACGGCACAGAGACUCGCAGGGGAAAAUGGAUCAAGACACAGAAAAACCUCAAAACUAAAUACACAGAUCCUUACAAUCCUCUUCACCACUAUCUGUUUACUGAGGAAAUACACUCAAAUAACUUGUGGGCACGGUAUAGGGGGGGAAAGUUAUGACAAUUCUAAGGGCCCUUGACAACAGGGGGCCCUCCACAAAAAAAAA